rnacentral:misc_RNA from 1 species
GAUGAAGAACGUAGCGAAAUGCGAUACUUGGUGUGAAUUGCAGAAUCCCGCGAAUCAUCGAGUUUUUGAACGCAAGUUGCGCCCGAAGCCAUUCGGCCGAGGGCACGUCUGCCUGGGUGUCACGCAUCGUUGCCCCCCCAAACUCCGGUUCGGGCGGGGCGGAAGCUGGCCUCCCGUGCGUGCCUGCGCGCGCGGUUAGCCCAAAAGCGAGUCCUCGGCGAUGAGCGCCACGACAAUCGGUGGUUUUUUUACCCUCGUUCCUCGUCGUGCGUGCCCCGUCGCCCGAACGCGCUCUUGCAACCCUUACGCGUCGCCUCGGUGGCGCUCCCAACGCGACCCCAGGUCAGGCGGGACUACCCGCUGAGUUUAAGCAUAUCAAUAAGCGGAGGA